rnacentral:rRNA from 1 species
GAUGAACGCUGGCGGCGUGCUUAACACAUGCAAGUCGAGCGAUGAAGUUUCCUUCGGGAAACGGAUUAGCGGCGGACGGGUGAGUAACACGUGGGUAACCUGCCUCAUAGAGUGGAAUAGCCUUCCGAAAGGAAGAUUAAUACCGCAUAAUGUUGAAAGAUGGCAUCAUCAUUUAACCAAAGGAGCAAUCCGCUAUGAGAUGGACCCGCGGCGCAUUAGCUAGUUGGUGGGGUAACGGCCUACCAAGGCGACGAUGCGUAGCCGACCUGAGAGGGUGAUCGGCCACAUUGGGACUGAGACACGGCCCAGACUCCUACGGGAGGCAGCAGUGGGGAAUAUUGCACAAUGGGGGAAACCCKGAUGCAGCAACGCCGCGUGAGUGAUGAAGGUUUUCG